UACGUAGGGGGCGAGCGUUGUCCGGAUUCAUUGGGCGUAAAGAGCUCGUAGGCGGCUUGGCAAGUCGGGUGUGAAAACUCCAGGCUCAACCUGGAGACGCCACCCGAUACUGCCAUGGCUUGAGUCCGGUAGGGGACCACGGAAUUCCUGGUGUAGCGGUGAAAUGCGCAGAUAUCAGGAGGAACACCGGUGGCGAAGGCGGUGGUCUGGGCCUGUACUGACGCUGAGGAGCGAAAGCGUGGGGAGCGAACAGG
rnacentral:rRNA from 1 species